AGCAGGCGCGAAAACUUUGCAAUAAGCGAAAGCUUGACAGGGCUAUCCCGAGUGCCAUCCGCUGAGGAAGGCUUUUACCCAGUCUAGAACGCUGGGGGAAUAAGGAGAGGGCAAGUCUGGUGUCAGCCGCCGCGGUAAUACCAGCUCUCCGAGUGGUGUGGAUGUUUAUUGGGCCUAAAGCAUCCGUAGCUGGCUAAGUUAGUCCCUUGUUAAAUCCACCGAAUUAAUCGUUGGAUUGCGGGGGAUACUGCUUGGCUAGGGGACGAGAGAGGCAGACGGUAUUUCCGGGGUAGGGGUGAAAUCCUAUAAUCCCGGGAAGACCACCAGUGGCGAAGGCUGUCUGCUAGAACGCGCCCGACGGUGAGGGAUGAAAGCUGGGGGAGCGAACCGGAUUAGAUACCCGGGUAGUCCCAGCUGUAAACGAUGCAGGCUAGGUGUUUGGACGGCCACGUGCCGUUCUAGUGCCGCAGGGAAGCUGUUAAGCCUGCCGCCUGGGGAGUACGAUCGCAAGAUUGAAACUUAAAGGAAUUGGCGGGGGAGCAC
rnacentral:rRNA from 1 species